GUCGUGUGGCCUCAGUCCUUCGCCGUCCCUCGCCGUCCUUCGCCAUCGCACGCCACCGCACCCCAUCUCUCGAAAUCUGCAGACAUCUUGAUUUUUCCCACGCUGUCUGUCAGGUCUCCGCCGCCACUCGACGCCAGGGCGCCGGGCCUUGUGGGCUGUGCUGCACCUCGGACGGCUUCGCACCAGCCAGCGCCCUCUCUCUCCUGCAGCACUCUGAUCUGCACCCCCUGAGGGGCUUCCACUGUCCGCGGGGUGAGAAUGCCCCUGGGAGUGUCACAUGACUGCCGCCCCAUGUGUGUGAGAGGCGUCCUCUGGGAGAGCAUGGAUCCUGAGGUCCCAGGAUUGUCAGCUGACCUCUGUCCUGUGUGCCCAGUGGCCCCAGGUGACGUGUCUUCAAGAAGAGGCUGAGCUGCGGUGCUUGUAAGAGUCAUGUGCUGUUCCUGGGGCUUGGAUGAUGUAGGGGAAGCAAGGUGAAAGUGGUAUCCCGUGGUUCCACGUUCUGUCCUGCUGUGGGGCUGUCCCUCACAUGCUUUCAGUGGCUGUUGCAGAGGAAGAGCCUCCGGAAAUCUGCGUGGGUCUCAGCCUUAGAUCCAAGGACAGUCCAAGGAAGUCCUAAGACCAUGGAGUUGGUGAUCUGGGAUCUGGGUUUGCUGAUAUUUCUCACCGUGGUGAGUUGAUGCCAAGAGCCAGAACCCACAGCCAGAGGCUCAGCUGGUCCGUGUUUAUGCAGAUGGGAACCUCAAAUCACUGGUCUCACUUGUCCUUUGUUUCAGAAUCUCUUGGUGGUGUUUGUGGGCACGAGAGGGGCAGAGAAUGGAGAGUGAGGCUACCACAUGAAGCGUCACCAGAGCUGCUCCCUGCUGCCUGCUCAGAGCACCCCGGAUCCACUGUUCAAUCUGCACAAGAUUCGGGGUCCAGACAUGGGAGACUUCAGCUGCCUCAGAGGACCGUGGACAGGGAAGGCCAGCCUCGCAUCCCUCUGUCCAUGCCUGGAAUGACUUUAAUAACCAAGAGUUUUAUUUUUGAAUUUGUAGCUGUCGUUCACUUUUUACCCACCCAUUCAAUAAACCUUACAGAAUUGCUCCA
rnacentral:lncRNA from 1 species